CGCGGUCUGUGCUUCUCGACAGGAACAAAUGAAUCCUCGGGGCCAUACCCGAUCCUUAGGGAGCUGUCCCUGUCCGGGCUCGUGGGUCUGGACAUACGGCGCCCACCUACUUUCGUAGGCGCCCAGGAUCGAAAGUUUCCACCGGUUGCGUGGAUCGCAC
rnacentral:other from 1 species